CAGUCGCCGCGGGAAUACGGAGGGGGCUAGCGUUGUUCGGAAUUACUGGGCGUAAAGCGCACGUAGGCGGCUUGGUAAGUUAGAGGUGAAAGCCUGGAGCUCAACUCCAGAAUUGCCUUUAAGACUGCCGAGCUAGCAGGUGAGAGAGGUGAGUGGAAUUCCGAGUGUAGAGGUGAAAUUCGUAGAUAUUCGGAAAAACACCAGUGGCGAAGGCGGCUUACUGGCUCAUACUGGACGCUGAGGUGCGAAAGCGUGGGGAGCAAACAGGAUUAGAUACCCCUGUAGUCCCUGUCUCUUAUAC
rnacentral:rRNA from 1 species